rnacentral:rRNA from 1 species
GACGAACGCUGGCGGCGUGCCUAAUACAUGCAAGUCGAGCGAAGUUUUUCUGGUGCUUGCACUAGAAAAACUUAGCGGCGAACGGGUGAGUAACACGUAAAGAACCUGCCUCAUAGACGGGGACAACUAUUGGAAACGAUAGCUAAUACCGGAUAACAGCAUAAAUCGCAUGAUAUAUGUUUAAAAGUUGGUUUCGGCUAACACUAUGAGAUGGCUUUGCGGUGCAUUAGCUAGUUGGUGGGGUAAAGGCCUACCAAGGCGACGAUGCAUAGCCGACCUGAGAGGGUGAUCGGCCACACUGGGACUGAGACACGGCCCAGACUCCUACGGGAGGCAGCAGUAGGGAAUCUUCCGCAAUGGGCGAAAGCCUGACGGAGCAACGCCGCGUGAGUGAGGAAGGAUUUCGGUUCGUAAAGCUCUGUUGUUAGGGAAGAAUGAUUGUAUAGUAACUAUAUACAGUAGAGACGUAC